rnacentral:rRNA from 1 species
CCAAUCGCGUAUAUUAAAGUUGUUGCAGUUAAAAAGCUCGUAGUUGAACUUCGGGAUCAAUGGAUCGGUCAUGCCAUCGGUAUGUACUGGUCUCAUUGGUUCUCACCUUCUAAGGAACCAUGAUGUCAUUCAUUUGAUGUUGUGGGGAAUUAGGACUGUUACCUUGAAAAAAUUAGAGUGUUUAAAGCAGGCUAACGCUUGAAUACAUUAGCAUGGAAUAAUGAAAUAGGACAUCGCAUUCUAUUUUGUUGGUUUCUAGGAUCGAUGUAAUGAUUAAUAGGGAUAGUUGGGGGCAUUAGUAUUCAAUUGUCAGAGGUGAAAUUCUUGGAUUUAUUGAAGACUAACUACUGCGAAAGCAUUUGCCAAGGAUGUUUUCAUUAAUCAAGAACGAAAGUUAGGGGAUCGAAGACGAUCAGAUACCGUCGUAGUCUUAACCAUAAACUAUGCCGACUAGGGAUCGGAUGAUGUUGAUUUUUUAAUGACUCAUUCGGCACCUUACG